AAUCAACAAAGUUUAUCAACUUGAGUAAAUACUAUUUGAUUUUUAAAUUAAUAAUACUUUAGUGAUUCUCAAUCGUUUAUAAUUAUUGAUUCGUAAAUAAAACAGGAAAGAUUUUAAUAAAUGAAAACUAAAUGCGGUACUCCAAGAAAUCUCAACGAGCUUAUCACAAAGCACCGCGGAAUAACAUUUAACCCGGAAAUUCACACCUCAUUCCACGCCAAUGAUGCAUAAAUGGCCAGAGCCGACUUCCGAAUAACGGACUUUCAGUUCUGAAGCCAGAAUUCUAACCACAAAACCAGGGCUGCACUAUCACUAUUACAUAUCACUAUUAUAUUAAAAUAAUUAAAUUAAUAAAAACUAUUAAAAUAUAUAAAUUGUUGCCAGUUUCUUUACAUGAACUCAAAUUUAA